GCGCUCGCUUCGGCAGCACACAUACUAAAAUUGGAACAAACGAUACAGACAAGAUUAGCAUGGCCCCUUCGCAAGGAUGAGAUGCAAAUUCAUAAAUUGUAUAAAAUUAAA